CUGCAGGCUGCAACUCGCCUGCACGAAGUCGGAAUUGCUAGUAAUCGUAGGUCAGCAUACUACGGUGAAUACGUUCCCGGGCCUUGUACACACCGCCCGUCAAACCAUGAGAGUUGGCAACACCCGAAGUCGGUAGGCUAACCGCAAGGAGGACGCCGCCGAAGGUGGGGGUUGAUGAUUAGGGGUUAAGUCGUAACAAGGUACC
rnacentral:rRNA from 1 species